rnacentral:antisense_RNA from 1 species
CUCAAGUUGAAGGGCAUCGGCCACAACAGAACAGUUCCCCACGGCUGAUGGGCACUCACAGGCAGGCAGGAGGGAGCGGUUCCGCACGACUUCCCAGCCCCCUCUGUGCCCAUUUUACAUCUGAGGCUGGCAGACCAGAAGGGCCACGGGAUUUUGAGCCCCAGCCUGAGGCCGGGAAGAGGGAGCUGGGGCAAACAGAGAGCCCAAAGGCGGGUCCGAUUUUGAAGAGUCAAUUUCCUUUGAAGAGGCAUCACCCACCCGGAGGUGGCAUCACCUGCCCAGGAGGUAUCACCUGUGCCUAGAGGAGGCAUCACCCGCCUAGAGGAGGUAUCACCACCCAGAGGAGGCAUCACCCAGAGGAGGUAUCACCACCCAAAGGAGGCAUCACCCACCCAGGAGGUGGCAUCACCCGUGCCCAGAGGAGGCAUCACGCACCCAGAGGAGGCAUCACCCGCCCAGGAGGUGGCAUCACCUGUGCCCAGAGGAGGCAUCGCCGCCAGCCCAGGAGGCAUCACGCACCCAGAGGAGGCAUCACCCACCCAGAAGGUGGCAUCACCUGUGCCAGAGGAGGCAUCACUACCAGCCCAGAAGGCAUCAACCACCCAGGAGGCAUCACCUGUGCCCAGAGGAGGCAUCACCCACCAAGAGGAGGCACCACUACCAGCCCAAGAGGCAUCACCACCCACCUAGGAAGCAUCACCUCCGAGAGGAGGCAUCACCUGUGCCCAGGAGGCAUCACCCGCCCAGAGGAGGCGCCCCAAGUUGGCAGGGUGGUGGGGGCUGGGCCUCUCAGUAAAUGGUCCAGAGCUUCCCCUGGCAGAUCAACUGUUUCUUGGGGACUUAAAGAAGAAUUGGGGUACUGGGACUCCCACUUAGUGAUCCCGGAGCCUGAGGUGGCCCACGGAGGAGUGCCCAAGCCCCCAGCAGCCAGACCAGCUCCA